rnacentral:rRNA from 1 species
UGGAUCCAGACUUUGAUCAUGGCUCAGGACGAACGCUGGCGGCGCGCCUAACACAUGCAAGUCGAACGAGCGAGAGAGAGUUUACUUUUUCGAGCGAGUGGCGAACGGGUGAGUAACGCGUGAGGAACCUGCCUCAAAGAGGGGGACAACAGUUGGAAACGACUGCUAAUACCGCAUAAGCCCACGGCUCGGCAUCGAGCAGAGGGAAAAGGAGCAAUCCGCUUUGAGAUGGCCUCGCAUCCGAUUAGCUAGUUGGUGAGGUAAUGGCCCACCAAGGCGACGAUCGGUAGCCGGACUGAGAGGUUGAACGGCCACAUUGGGACUGAGACACGGCCCAGACUCCUACGGGAGGCAGCAGUGGGGAAUAUUGCACAAUGGGGGAAACCCUGAUGCAGCGACGCCGCGUGGAGGAAGAAGGUCUUCGGAUUGUAAACUCCUGUUGUUGAGGAAGAUAAUGACGGUACUCAACAAGGAAGUGACGGCUAACUACGUGCCAGCAGCCGCGGUAAAACGUAGGUCACAAGCGUUGUCCGGAAUUACUGGGUGUAAAGGGAGCGCAGGCGGGAGGACAAGUUGGAAGUGAAAUCCAUGGGCUCAACCCAUGAACUGCUUUCAAAACUGUUUUUCUUGAGUAGUGCAGAGGUAGGCGGAAUUCCCGGUGUAGCGGUGGAAUGCGUAGAUAUCGGGAGGAACACCAGUGGCGAAGGCGGCCUACUGGGCACCAACUGACGCUGAGGCUCGAAAGUGUGGGUAGCAAACAGGAUUAGAUACCCUGGUAGUCCACACUGUAAACGAUGACUACUAGGUGUUGGAGGAUUGACCCCUUCAGUGCCG